rnacentral:rRNA from 1 species
AUUGAACGCUGGCGGUAUGCUUAAGACAUGCAAGGUCGAACGGUAACAGGUUAAGCUGACGAGUGGCGGACGAGUGAGUAACGCGUGGGAAUCUACCUUGUAGUGGGGGAUAAGCCAGGGAAACUUGGACUAAUACCGCAUACGCCCUAAGGGGGAAAGGCGCAAGUCGCUAUAAGAUGAGCCCGCGUCUGAUUAGGUAGUUGGUGGGGUAAAGGCCUACCAAGCCGACGAUCAGUAGCUGGUCUGAGAGGAUGAUCAGCCACGUCGGGACUGAGACACGGCCCGGACUCCUACGGGAGGCAGCAGUCGGGAAUAUUGGACAAUGGGGGAAACCCUGAUCCAGCAAUACCGCGUGUGUGAAGAAGGCCUGCGGGUUGUAAAGCACUUUCAGUUGGGAAGAUAAUGACGUUACCAACAGAAGAAGCACCGGCUAACUCCGUG